CCCCAAAAAUGAAAACUCAAUAAAACAAGUGAGGAUAAAUAACAAACUUAACAUAAUUAAGGAUUUAUGGCAAGAUGGUAGUGAAAUGUAGUUUAAAGAUUAGAUUUGUAAUUAGCAACUAAGUGAAGGGGGUAAAGUGCAAAGUGAUUAAACUUAAAUUAGUUAAAAAAAAAAAAAACAAACUAAACCCCAAACACAAUGAGUGUGUCUGGGGGAACGAUCGAACAAGGAAGGAGGAGGGGGAAACCCUAAACUCAAGAAAUCAAGCAAUUGAAGCCUAAAAUCAUGAGAAAAUCCAGUGCAUGAGCCAUCUUAUCGAUCAUCUAAGCAUACCUAGUGAAGUGGAACGUGUCAAGGAGAGCUCAAGCAUAGGAGGAUAACGGGUCAAGAUAAGGCAAGGUGACAAAUACACUUAUUGGAGUACUCAAGGUAAGUGAUUUCUAUAAUCACUUCUUUAGUUGUUUAAGUAAUAUAAUGUUUUAAUUAUUAAGUUCAUAUGAAGUUGAGGUCAAAUCAAUAGAUUAUUUUGAUAAAUGCACGAAUGGGUCGAAUAAUUCAUAGAUGAAUAACAAGCCGAAUACGUAUAAGUUAAGAAAUUCCUUAACUCGGAUGUUGGACUUCAAGAUCACAUGAUAGAAUAUUAAAUUACAAUCAUAUAGGAAGUAACGUGACGCAAAACGGAUGAAAAAUGAGAGAGUUAUGUCCGUUUCGGUAAGGAUUAAUGGCUAGGAAAAGUGCAGAGUUGACACGGCCGGGUGGUGAACUGACACGGCCGGGUGAAGGUUCUGUCAAAAAUAUUAUUUAUGUGAUUUAUGCGCCGUAGGCUUCGGUAUAUUAUCCGUGAACUACGACGGGCCUCCCAAACAUGAUUUCGAGUGUUUCCUUGACGAUUAUAAGUUGUAAACCCAAGUCUAAGCCUCAUGUAAUUUAUAUAAGAGUGUGAUAGAUGUAUGUAAUGAAGUUGGACAUGUAUUACAUGUAAAUGUAUACAAAAAUACGUACGGAACAUGUAGGUAUGAAUACAUGAUUGUAGGUAUGAUUAAAUGUAUAUUAGGUAUGUAGAUGUGUAUGAUUGUAAGUUUGUAUGUGUGCAAGUAUGUGCGAAUGCAUGAUUUGGAUGCAUUUGAGAAUUAGCGUUACUAAUAAUGCCCUUGGGUUUGGAAUAUAAGUUAAUUGGAUGCAUUUAAAUGGUUGAUGUCCUUUUUAUGAAGAUGUAGUAAAUGAAUAUGUUGAGACUACGGGUUUGGCUAACCAAGUUAUUAUUGAGUAUGUUUGAAAGUGCAGGUUAUGAAUGUCGGACUCUCAAAGUGUUGAUAUAAUAAUGAAACGGUUGAAUCUUGAAAAGAUAAUCGGAUUGAAGUAACUUAUGCGGUUAGAAUAUGCUGUGGACGUUUUAGUUUAUACAACAUUUUACGUUUGGUCGUCAUCAUCUACCAACGGGUUAGUUGUUUGAAAAUAUAUGUCAUACCCAUUUAAUUGGGUAAUCGAAUGCGCGAGAGAAAUGAAAGUACAUACACGAAUGGAACUAAAGUGACGGUUUUAUAAGUAAAUAAGUAAAUGACUAACCUUUUAAAGCUUUGUUGUUGAAUGUAGGUAAAUCCUCAAUUCAGGCGACUUGGAGAAUCGGAGCGAGCGCGUGUUCAUGUUAUGUCAUACCAAACGCUUCCGCUAGCUUGUUCAAAUGCUUUUAGUCCAAAAUUUGUUGUAUUGGUUCUUAGUAGUAUUUUGUCGAAUGAAUCGUAGAAUUGUAUCUAGUUUGAUUAUGUUUAAAACAGGGGAAUGCUCGUUUUAUGGAUGGGUCAUGCCCAAUUUUUGUUAAAUUAAUGCACCUGCGUUAUUGAUAUAUUCAUUUAAAAUUCCGAAAAGUUGGACACUUUUAAGAAAUUUUUUAUAUUUCUAGUGUCCUUUAGUCGUCUUUUAUUAGACGCAAAUGCGGACGUAACAAGUUGGUAUCAGAGCCUAGGUUUGAGGGAUUCGAGCAAGAGUAAUAGUGCUUGAACUCAAACCGAAGGCUCGUGCAAAGGUGUGCUCGCUCCGAGGUCGCCAAUGAGGUAAAAUUUUAAGUAUUCGUUUAAUACGAGUAUGAUGUAAAUAUUUAAGCUAUAUAUAUGUAUAUAUAUAUACAGGAAGUAAAGUUGGAGGUUAAACGAGAAGUUCAGGGACCGUAUGGCUGGAACCGAACCGAAAAACGAUUAAUAAGCCCAAAACAAAGAAUGCAGCGAUUUUAGUAAACGUGAGGCCGUCGCCGACGGGUUGUUACCCGUCGCCGACGCCCCUUUUUGGGCCGACGCCCUAUCUAACUGCUUACGGGAACUCUGGCCGACGCCCUUUUUAAGAGCCCGUCGCCGACGGACAUCUUAGCCGUCGCCGACGGCUUACAUAAUUUCAGUCCGCUGGAAUUUCAAGUUUUCAUAAUUUUAACUAACCGUCCAUCCCGGAAGCCCGAUUCACGGAUUCCAUUGAGUUCUUAUGAGACUAAGUAAACCGUGUAGGGAUAGAACAAAUUGAUAGUGAAUGGUUGUGCGUAAUGGUAUGAAACAAAAGACGAAUGUAUGAAGUGAAGCUCGAAAUGUAAGAAUGUAAAUAAGUAAUAUGGACUAAUGAACUAUGAUGUGUUGAAAGCUUAUGAUCCGUAUUAAAUGUAAACAUGACAUUGUGUAGAUGGCUGAUGCAAGCAACGUUAAUGAUGAUGAUGAUACUAAUGUGUUAAAAUGUUUUGUGAAGGGUAAGCGCAAUUGUUGGAAGAGAUGAUCUGUGAAUGCGGUCUAGGACCGGCAUCGAGGCAAGUAAUGAAACAAAUUGACCCCAGGUACGUAAACCUAACGUAUGGGCGUAUGAAAUGGUAUGGUUAAGCAAGUGAAAGAAAAAUUUUGAACAAAUUAUGAUAACGACAUGGUAAAUAACUUUUGAAAAUGUUACACGAGCCGAAACUGAAUUCUUCGGACAUAAGGUGGCAAUUACGCGAAGACACGAAACUAGUACGUGGAAUGUGUACCUGGCCAAUACACAAGAAACGUAUAAAGUUCGUGAGACAGUGAUAAUUAUUACAGGUAUGUCCGAUAGAGUUUGGUAGCAGCUAGGCGUGCGGGUGAAAUGGGUAGUAAGACUCUCGGGGGAUUGAGAGUACCUUCAAGGAAUGAAGUAUGCGAAUGCAAUGCUUGAAUCCGCGAGACGGAUUCAAGGAAUGAAGUAUGCGAAUGCAAUGCUUGAAUCCGCGAGACGGAUUCAAGGAAUGAAGUAUGCGAAUGCAAUGCUUGAAUCCGCGAGACGGAUUCAAGGAAUGAAAUAUGCGAAUGCAAUGCUUGAAUCCGCGAGACGGAUUCAAGGAAUGAAAUAUGCGAAUGAAAUGAUUGAAUCCACAAGACGAAUUCAAGGAAUGAAAGAGGUGAAUGCAAUAUUUGAAUUCAUGAGACAGAUUCAAAACAUGAAAGGUACGAAAGGUAUGAGUAAGGUGUUCGAAUCCGUGAAAUGGACUUAAGGUAUAAACGACUAAGGCUAGUCUACUGGAGAAGAAGCCAAUAGUCUGACCAUAAUUAUGUCACACAAGUCAUAUAAGUAAACAUAAAGCAAAUGAACAAAAGUAUGAUAGGAGUGAAAAUAUCCGAAGGUGUAAGGAAUUACGAACCAGACAAGUAAAUGUUUCUUAAGUGAUAUGAUUCAAACUAUGCUUAAAUUUUCAUAUAUAUAUUUAUAUAUAUAUGAAUGUAUUUAUGUGAAUGCGUUGCAUGCGAGAGGGUCGAAAGGAUAAAUGGGUCAUGCGGGUCAGAUGGCGAUUGCCAUUGGGCUCGUUAGUUAAUGUUUUGAUAUUUUAAGUUUUGUACUCGUAGGUGAGCUUGAUGAAUGGACACGCAAUGUCACUAAUCGGAAAGGAAUGAUCUACGUAAGGUAUGGAUAACAAAUCAAUGGAAUCUACUUCCGUCAGGUAUGUAUAAAAAGAGUUAUAACUUAAAUAGGAGGUUAUGACUCGACUAGAGACUGAUGUAAUAGAAUAUAUAUAUAUAUAUAUAUAUAUACAAACCGAAAUGCAAAAAUGUAGAAUGAAUUUCAAAAUGUUCGUAGUGAUCGCCAAGUGGUAUAGAACUUGAAUGCUCGUAACUGUGGAAAUCCUGAUAGAAUGUAAGAGAUGACAAGUAUCAUAAGAAAUACUAACCUUGAUGCUCGGCUUGUUGGUCAUGUUCAUUUGAACAAGACAUUGUCGAAAAGAUAAGCAUGGCAUAAAUAACAAUGGUACCAUGGAAAUAAUGCUUGGUUUUCGUGUUAAGUAUGGAUACGUGAGUUUAAGAGAGGUGAUUUUGGUUGUAACAAUAAGUCUUUGAAUGAUUAUAAUAUGCGUAUGAUAAUAUAUCGACCCCUCCUAUGAGCUUAAGGGUAAUCAGAAGUAAAGAUAGUAAUGGAAUGUUUAGGAUGGCUCAUAGAGAACAAAAUGAAAGAUAGCAUAUGAUGUAUGAGUAGAAUGAAAUAAAUCGACUUAUUUCAAUUAGUAAACAUAUAAAUGUAAUAUGCUUAAAUAGGAUGUUAGAAACAAGCCAUAGACUUAGUUUGUAUGGUUAAUAACUGUAUACAAUUGAAAUAAAUUCGAUGAAUGAAGCGCUAGAUGGUAUGUGCUAGGAGCUAGCAGUAUAAAGUGAAAACGACACUAAUAAGAGCUCUGGAUCAAAUUCUGACUUUAAUGCGAUUAAGAAAGUAAUUUACUUGAUUUAAGAACGGAGGGACAAUACGUACAAAGACGUUUAUGAAUGAAUGAAACUCUUGCCAAGAUCUCGAAUACAUCCAUGUGGUGUUAAGCCUCGUGAAUGAAAAGAUGAAAAAGUAGGAAUAGAAUUGGUCCGGUUGAAAUGAGAAAGGUUUCGGGGACGAAACCUCUUUUAAGGGGGGUAGAUUUGUAACGCCCCAAAAAUGAAAACUCAAUAAAACAAGUGAGGAUAAAUAACAAACUUAACAUAAUUAAGGAUUUAUGGCAAGAUGGUAGUGAAAUGUAGUUUAAAGAUUAGAUUUGUAAUUAGCAACUAAGUGAAGGGGGUAAAGUGCAAAGUGAUUAAACUUAAAUUAGUUAAAAAAAAAACAAACUAAACCCCAAACACAAUGAGUGUGUCUGGGGGAACGAUCGAACAAGGAAGGAGGAGGGGGAAACCCUAAACUCAAGAAAUCAAGCAAUUGAAGCCUAAAAUCAUGAGAAAAUCCAGUGCAUGAGCCAUCUUAUCGAUCAUCUAAGCAUACCUAGUGAAGUGGAACGUGUCAAGGAGAGCUCAAGCAUAGGAGGAUAACGGGUCAAGAUAAGGCAAGGUGACAAAUACACUUAUUGGAGUACUCAAGUGCAGGUUAUGAAUGUCGGACUCUCAAAGUGUUGAUAUAAUAAUGAAACGGUUGAAUCUUGAAAAGAUAAUCGGAUUGAAGUAACUUAUGCGGUUAGAAUAUGCUGUGGACGUUUUAGUUUAUACAACAUUUUACGUUUGGUCGUCAUCAUCUACCAACGGGUAAAUCCUCAAUUCAGGCGACUUGGAGAAUCGGAGCGAGCGCGUGUUCAUGUUAUGUCAUACCAAACGCUUCCGCUAGCUUGUUCAAAUGCUUUUAGUCCAAAAUUUGUUGUAUUGGUUCUUAGUAGUAUUUUGUCGAAUGAAUCGUAGAAUUGUAUCUAGUUUGAUUAUGUUUAAAACAGGGGAAUGCUCGUUUUAUGGACGGGUCGUGCCCAAUUUUUGUUAAAUUAAUGCACCUGCGUUAUUGAUA